rnacentral:lncRNA from 1 species
UCGUCAGUAUGUUGGAUGUACGUAUUGAACUUGAAUUCCUGAAUGAUAUAUUUUGAGAUAGAUGAUGUGUCGGUAUUAAUACCCUGUAAAGGAAGGUAAAGUUGUAUUUUGUGAGUAUCUCUUUAUAAUUACAGUGCAUGUAUGUUUCAUUAUAUUACGUUAUUUUGAUUGGCUAACAGAAAUCUCUACGUGCUUCGUACAAAAAUGUACUUCGGUCGAUUCUUUUACAUCCAAUGAAUUUACAAAAAGUAAUUUAAGAAAGGGUAGUAAUUUUCGAUUAACAUCAUAUGACAUAUUCUUCACUUAGACCUGGUGAAUGACCUCAGAAAUAAAACAAAUCUGACGAUCAAGUACGGCGACAGUUGUUUAUCGAUGCUAAAAUAUCGUGACGCGAUUAAUAAUAUCGUCAGAUCAAGGUAAAACACACCGAAGAGUAGAAUCGCAUGAACCUCAAAAGGAGCGGAAUCGGAGUUGUCAUAAUUAUUCAUGCAGAAAGUUUGAUUUUGUUUUAAAUAUAAAGUAAUUAACAGACCAUUGCGUUUUUGACAAACAUAAUAUUAUCGAGAACUGCAACAUUAAUCCUCUUUUUCAUUGGUCAAAUGUUUUAUUUUUAAGCAGUCGGCUUCGUCUUCAUCUUUAGAAAUAAGAUAAUUCAAUAUUUUAUCAAAUUUUAAAAUGAUAUUAUUUACUAAAUCAAUAUAAUCAAAAAGAGUUACCAGUGUUUAUUGGGUUGAUCAAGUGUUACAUUUAUAGUCUCAGUCAGAAAUGUAUACCCGUAUAUAUAAUGUUGUUGGGUAUACAUAUUAUAAGAUAAGCAAUGAGAGGCACUUGAUAUGUGGAUUUUAUGUCCAAUAUGAUCAGAUGCUUUGUAUCUUAUUUAACAACUUUCCAUUAAAGGCCGUUGCUGGUUAAUUAAAGGGUUGAUAUCAUAGUUCAUUUAAUUUAAUUUUUAACAAAUUUACCAAUAUAAUUGAAAUUUAGUCUUGUUUACAGACGAUAAAUUUGUUUGAGCACUAUUAUUUUUAAAUGGGAAGAAAAACUAUCUUUCAUCGGCUAUUGAUUGUAUAUGACUAGUCAAAUUCAUGUCUUCUGUGUCUUGGUAUUACAUUCAUGAUGUACUUUGAAAAUUUGGAAUAAGACUGUGAUUUUCGUCAACUUCAAAGUCAUUUCAAGCAUGUAACAUCUCUUUUAACAAUUAUAUCAUGAUUUUGUUAUGAUUUUAGUUAUAUUUUUUUUGUUAAAACAAUUGCGUUAUAUUUAUCUAAUAAGUUCCUGGAAUAGAUACAGUGUCUUUUCUUAUUCAACUCUUACGGGUAGACGGUGUACCAAAAGCGUUUAUACAUAUAAUACUACUGAAGGGAGACUGAAUUACUUUCUUAAAAAAUGAUUUUAUCUAUAGAUGUACUGAACUAGUACACAUUUUCAUCACGGGGCCAGUUGAGGCCCACCUCCGGAUGCGGGAUUUUCUCGCUGUGUUGAAGACCCAUUUUAGUGGCCUUUGGUUGUUUUCGGCUCUUUGUUCGGGUUUUUUGUCUCGUUGAGAUAUUCCCCAUUUCCAUUAUCAACUUUAUUAGCAGGUGUCAUAAGAUUUUAUCAUUUUCGAUAUUAAGACACUCGUAAUCUUAAGAUAAUAACGGAAAUGUUUUGUUUUGUAUUGAUCACAAUGCAUUCCUCAUCUCUUCGAGUAUGUCGUCUGGAAUGAACUUACCUUUGACUUUUGACAUUCUUUGAACAACAUCACGGGGCCCGUUAAAAAGACAGGGACUGUUUAUAGUCAUCGGGCACCUGAGAUCGCCAACGGCUUUCGGUUUGAUUCUUGCUCUUCUGAGAAUUGUUUUUGUGGAUUGUUGUUUGCCGUAAAUCGUUUUUCUUUUGAUCAAGGUGUAGUCUUUUAGUUUUAGACUUAUAAUUUUUGAUUGCCACCGUAAUGUUUUCUGUCGUAUUAAAUAAUUAAAUGUCUGUGUUAUGAGUGAAAGAAAAACCAAUUGUUAAACGCCUUACAAUUUGCUUUUUAUCACCGUGUUUAUAAGAUAUUUAAUAUAUUUUAUAUUAUAUUUUCACUUUAUUAAUUGACAAAUUGUCUUAUCAAGUAUACGUAUCCUACAUUUAUGUAAUAUAUAGUCAUAUCUCGAUUUCCUGAAAUCAAAAUAAUUUUUCAGCUUGGUGCAUUCUUAUAACGAUUUAUAAGUCGAAUGUGUUGUUUUCCGUUUCAUUGUUUCAUUAAAUUAGUGAAGUUUCUUAAGCAUUUUCUAUUCAGUUUAUGGAAAACCCACAACUGUCACACAAUUGAAAUAAGAUAAAGUAAAGACAUAAACAGAGAGGAUAUGUUAUAAUGAAGAUUUGUUAUAAUGAAAGUUCGAAGGUACACGUUCUGAAGACCGGAGAUAUGACUAUAUAAAGAUCUUUUGUGUAAUUAUACAUGUUAUAGAAGACAAUACACUCAGUAUACUUUCAAACUGUACAUUCCAAAACCCGACAUUGUUAUUGAAAUGUUUUUAUUGAAUAAAAUUUGCGUUUUUUUAAGAUGUUUUAAAACGUAUCACAAAC